AUUGAACGCUAGCGGCAGGCCUAACACAUGCAAGUCGGGCGAGUGGCGGACGGGUGAGUAAUGUAUGGGGAUCUGCCUGAUGGCGGGGGAUAACUACUGGAAACGGUAGCUAAUACCGCAUACCAUCAGAUGGACCCAUAUGGGAUUAGCUAGUAGGUAGGGUAAAGGCUUACCUAGGCGACGAUCCCUAGCUGGUCUGAGAGGAUGAUCAGCAACACUGGGACUGAGACACGGCCCAGACUCCUACGGGAGGCAGCAGUGGGGAAUAUGGGACAAUGGGCGCAACCCUGAUGCAGCCAUGCCGCGUGUAUGAAGAAGGCCUUCGGGUUGUAAAGUACUUUCAGUCGGGAGGCGUUACCUGCAGAAUAAGCACCGGCUAACUCCGUGCCAGCAGCCGCGGUAAUAC
rnacentral:rRNA from 1 species